AUACGUAGGGGGCGAGCGUUGUCCGGAAUGAUUGGGCGUAAAGGGCGCGUAGGCGGCCCGGUAAGUCUGGAGUGAAAGUCCUGUUUUUAAGAUGGGAAUUGCUUUGGAUACUGUCGGGCUUGAGUGCAGGAGAGGUAAGUGGAAUUCCCAGUGUAGCGGUGAAAUGCGUAGAGAUUGGGAGGAACACCAGUGGCGAAGGCGACUCACUGGUCCGGUACUGACGCUGAGGUGCGAAAGCGUGGGGAGCAAACAGGAUUAGAUUCCCUGGUAGUCCACGCCCUAAACGAUGAUUACUCGACAUCAGCGAUACACUGUUGGUGUCUGAGCGAAAGCAUUAAGUAAUCCACCUGGGAAGUACGAUCGCAAGAUUGAAACUCAAAUGAAUUGACGG
rnacentral:rRNA from 1 species